UACAGAGGGUGCGAGCGUUAAUCGGAGUUACUGGGCGUAAAGGGCGCGUAGGUGGCCCGGUCAGCGUGCGGUGAAAGCUCGGGGCUCAACCCCGAGUCGGCCGUGCGAACUGCUGGGCUUGAGCACUGUAGAGGCAGGCGGAAUUCCGGGUGUAACGGUGGAAUGCGUAGAGAUCCGGAAGAACACCGGUGGCGAAGGCGGCCUGCUGGGCAGUGGCUGACACUGAGGCGCGACAGCGUGGGGAGCAAACAGG
rnacentral:rRNA from 1 species